rnacentral:rRNA from 1 species
UAGAAGAUGACGAGCGGCGGACGGGUGAGUAAUACUUAGGAAUCUACCUAGUAGUGGGGGAUAGCUCGGGGAAACUCGAAUUAAUACCGCAUACGACCUACGGGAGAAAGGGGGCACUUGUUGCUCUCGCUAUUAGAUGAGCCUAAGUCGGAUUAGCUAGAUGGUGGGGUAAAGGCCUACCAUGGCGACGAUCUGUAGCUGGUCUGAGAGGAUGAUCAGCCACACCGGGACUGAGACACGGCCCGGACUCCUACGGGAGGCAGCAGUGGGGAAUAUUGGACAAUGGGGGAAACCCUGAUCCAGCCAUGCCGCGUGUGUGAAGAAGGCCUUUUGGUUGUAAAGCACUUUAAGCAGUGAAGAAGACUCUUCGGUUAAUACCCGGAGACGAUGACAUUAGCUGCAGAAUAAGCACCGGCUAACUCUGUGCCAGCAGCCGCGGUAAUACAGAGGGUGCAAGCGUUAAUCGGAAUUACUGGGCGUAAAGCGAGCGUAGGUGGCUUGAUAAGUCAGAUGUGAAAUCCCCGGGCUUAACCUGGGAACUGCAUCUGAUACUGUCAGGCUAGAGUAGGUGAGAGGAAGGUAGAAUUCCAGGUGUAGCG